AGCAAUAAAUAACUAAAACAACUUACUGAACAACCAAGCAGUCCCACUUCUAGAGAAAUAAAAACUUACGUUUACAGUAAAACUUACAAAAACGUACAUUCAUAUAAAAAUCUAUAUGGAAAUGCUUUAUAGCAACUUUAUUCAUAAUCUCCAAAAAUUAAACAAUCCAAAUGCCUUCAACUGGUGAAUGGAUAACCAUGGUACAUCUAUACAGUGGAUUACUACUGAGCAAGAAAAGGGACAGAAUACUGAUACAUGCAACAAUGAUACAUUUCAAAUGAGUUGUGCUCAGUGAAAGAAGCUAGUCUCAAAAGGAUACACACUGUCUGAUUCCACUUAUUUGACUUUCUGGAAAAGGCAAAAUUAUAAGGACAGAAAACAAAUGAAUGUUUUCCCAGGGGCUGGAGGUGAUUGGGAGGGUCCACUACAGGGGGACUUGAGGUCUUAUGAACUUACCCGGAAGGACCGACUGUACAAAAACAUUAUUCGAAUGCAGCAUACACAUGGAUUCAAGGCUUUUCACAUCCUCCCCCAGACCUUCCUCCUGCCAGCUGAGUACGCGGAAUUUUGUA
rnacentral:lncRNA from 1 species